UACGUAGGGUGCGAGCGUUAAUCGGAAUUACUGGGCGUAAAGCGUGCGCAGGCGGUUUGUUAAGUUCGUUGUGAAAGCCCCGGGCUCAACCUGGGAACUGCAAUGGAAACUGGCGGGCUUGAGUGUGGCAGAGGGGGGUGGAAUUCCGCGUGUAGCAGUGAAAUGCGUAGAGAUGCGGAGGAACACCGAUGGCGAAGGCAGCCCCCUGGGCCAACACUGACGCUCAGGCACGAAAGCGUGGGGAGCAAACAGG
rnacentral:rRNA from 1 species